rfam:Gossypium arboreum cultivar AKA8401 contig_2310_1, whole genome shotgun sequence.
ACUUGGUGGUGAGAACAUUUCUUUUGCAUGUCCUUAAACUGUUCUCAUGCCUCAUGUGAAGUUUCCUCUUUAUAUUGCUGGAAACUAGUAAUGCCAUUCCGCAAUUU